rnacentral:rRNA from 1 species
GGGUUGUGAGGUUAAGCGACUAAGCGUACACGGUGGAUGCCCUGGCAGUCAGAGGCGAUGAAGGGCGUGCUAAUCUGCGAUAAGCGCCGGUAAGGUGAUAUGAACCGUUAUAACCGGCGAUACCCGAAUGGGGAAACCCAGUGUGACUCGUCACACUAUCAUUAACUGAAUCCAUAGGUUAAUGAGGCGAACCGGGGGAACUGAAACAUCUAAGUACCCCGAGGAAAAGAAAUCAACCGAGAUUCCCCCAGUAGCGGCGAGCGAACGGGGAGGAGCCCAGAGCCUGAAUCAGCAUGUGUGUUAGUGGAAGCGUCUGGAAAGGCGCGCGAUACAGGGUGACAGCCCCGUACACAAAAGCGCAUGUGCUGUGAGCUCGAUGAGUAGGGCGGGACACGUGGUAUCCUGUCUGAAUAUGGGGGGACCAUCCUCCAAGGCUAAAUACUCCUGACUGACCGAUAGUGAACCAGUACCGUGAGGGAAAGGCGAAAAGAACCCCGGCGAGGGGAGUGAAAAAGAACCUGAAACCGUGUACGUACAAGCAGUGGGAGCCCCACCACUAAGCCAGUGGUGAACUCCACAUACGCAUCCUUUGCUGAAGGCAAUGGUUAACGGAGCGAAAGCGACGUUCAACCGCAAAAGAAGCAGAGGGGGCUUAGUGGUGGGGUGACUGCGUACCUUUUGUAUAAUGGGUCAGCGACUUAUAUUCUGUAGCAAGGUUAACCGAAUAGGGGAGCCGUAGGGAAACCGAGUCUUAACCGGGCGUUAAGUUGCAGGGUAUAGACCCGAAACCCGGUGAUCUAGCCAUGGGCAGGUUGAAGGUUGGGUAACACUAACUGGAGGACCGAACCGACUAAUGUUGAAAAAUUAGCGGAUGACCUGUGGCUGGGGGUGAAAGGCCAAUCAAACCGGGAGAUAGCUGGUUCUCCCCGAAAGCUAUUUAGGUAGCGCCUCGUGAAUUCAUCUCCGGGGGUAGAGCACUGUUUCGGCUAGGGGGCCAUCCCGGCUUACCAACCCGAUGCAAACUGCGAAUACCGGAGAAUGUUAUCACGGGAGACACACGGCGGGUGCUAACGUCCGUCGUGAAGAGGGAAACAACCCAGACCGCCAGCUAAGGUCCCAAAGUCAUGGUUAAGUGGGAAACGAUGUGGGAAGGCCCAGACAGCCAGGAUGUUGGCUUAGAAGCAGCCAUCAUUUAAAGAAAGCGUAAUAGCUCACUGGUCGAGUCGGCCUGCGCGGAAGAUGUAACGGGGCUAAACCAUGCACCGAAGCUGCGGCAGCGA